rnacentral:rRNA from 1 species
CAGUCGCCACGGGAAUACGGAGGGCGCGAGCGUUACCCGGAUUUACUGGGCGUAAAGGGCGUGUAGGCGGCCUGGGGCGUCCCAUGUGAAAGGCCACGGCUCGACCGUGGAGGAGCGUGGGAUACGCUCAGGCUAGAGGGUGGGAGAGGGUGGUGGAAUUCCCGGAGUAGCGGUGAAAUGCGCAGAUACCGGGAGGAACGCCGAUGGCGAAGGCAGCCACCUGGUCCACUUCUGACGCUGAGGCGCGAAAGCGUGGGGAGCAAACCGGAUUAGAUACCCGCGUAGUCCCUGUCUCUUAUAC